rnacentral:rRNA from 1 species
AACGAACGCUGGCGGCAUGCCUAACACAUGCAAGUCGAACGAGACCUUCGGGUCUAGUGGCGCACGGGUGCGUAACGCGUGGGAACCUGCCCUUAGGUUCGGAAUCCCUCCCCUAAAGGGGUCCUAAUACCGGAUAAUCUCCUCGCACCAAAGAUUUAUCGCCUUUGGAUGGGGCCUCGUUGGAUUAGCUAGUUGGUAGGGUAAAAGCCUACCAAGGCGACGAUCCAUAGCUGGUCUGAGAGGAUGAUCAUCCACACUGGGACUGAGACACGGCCCAGACUCGUACGGGAGGGAGCAGUGGGGAAUAUUGGACAAGGGGCGAAAGCCUGAUAAAGCAAUGCCGGGGGAGAGAUGAAGGGCGUAGGGUUGUAAAGCUGUUUUAGCCGGGAUGAUAAUGACAGUACCGGGAGAAUAAGCUCCGGCUAACUCCGUG